rnacentral:rRNA from 1 species
GACGGAGGAUGCAAGUGUUAUCCGGAAUCACUGGGCGUAAAGCGUCUGUAGGUGGUUUAAUAAGUCAACUGUUAAAUCUUGAGGCUCAACCUCAAAAUCGCAGUCGAAACUAUUAGGCUAGAGUAUAGUAGGGGUAAAGGGAAUUUCCAGUGGAGCGGUGAAAUGCGUAGAGAUUGGAAAGAACACCGAUGGCGAAGGCACUUUACUGGGCUAUUACUAACACUCAGAGACGAAAGCUAGGGUAGCAAAUUGG